rfam:Felis catus isolate Cinnamon breed Abyssinian chromosome D2, whole genome shotgun sequence.
GCCUGGGUGGUUCAGUCGGUUGAGCGGCUGACUGCAGCUCAGCUCAUGAUCUUACAAUUUGUGAGUUCAAGCCCCACAUCAGGCU